rnacentral:rRNA from 1 species
AUUGAACGCUGGCGGCAGGCCUAACACGUGCAAGUCGAGCGGAUGAAGGGAGCUUGCUCCUGGAUUCAGCGGCGGACGGGUGAGUAAUGCCUAGGAAUCUGCCUGGUAGUGGGGGAUAACGUCCGGAAACGGGCGCUAAUACCGCAUACGUCCUGAGGGAGAAAGUGGGGGAUCUUCGGACCUCACGCUAUCAGAUGAGCCUAGGUCGGAUUAGCUAGUUGGUGGGGUAAAGGCCUACCAAGGCGACGAUCCGUAACUGGUCUGAGAGGAUGAUCAGUCACACUGGAACUGAGACACGGUCCAGACUCCUACGGGAGGCAGCAGUGGGGAAUAUUGGACAAUGGGCGAAAGCCUGAUCCAGCCAUGCCGCGUGUGUGAAGAAGGUCUUCGGUUUGUAAAGCACUUUAAGUUGGGAGGAAGGGCAGUAAGUUAAUACCUUGCUGUUUUGACGUUACCAACAGAAUAAGCACCGGCUAACUUCGUG